AACGAACGCUGGCGGCAUGCCUAACACAUGCAAGUCGAACGAGACCUUCGGGUCUAGUGGCGCACGGGUGCGUAACGCGUGGGAACCUGCCCUUAGGUUCGGAAUAACUCCCCGAAAGGGGUGCUAAUACCGGAUAAUGUCUGCGGACCAAAGAUUUAUCGCCUUUGGAUGGGCCCGCGUUGGAUUAGCUAGUUGGUAGGGUAAAAGCCUACCAAGGCGACGAUCCAUAGCUGGUCUGAGAGGAUGAUCAGCCACACUGGGACUGAGACACGGCCCAGACUCCUACGGGAAGCAGCAGUGGGGAAUAUUGGACAAUGGGCGAAAGCCUGAUCCAGCAAUGCCGCGUGAGUGAUGAAGGCCUUAGGGUUGUAAAGCUCUUUUACCCGGGAUGAUAAUGACAGUACCGGGAGAAUAAGCUCCGGCUAACUCCGUG
rnacentral:rRNA from 1 species